GCCCGGGUGGUGGAAUUGGUAGACACAAGGGAUUUAAAAUCCCUCGCCGAAAAGCGUGCCGGUUCAAGUCCGGCUCCGGGUA
rfam:Colwellia sp. MT41, complete genome.